rnacentral:rRNA from 1 species
GAUGAACGCUGGCGGCGUGCCUAAUACAUGCAAGUCGAGCGAACGGACGAGAAGCUUGCUUCUCUGAUGUUAGCGGCGGACGGGUGAGUAACACGUGGAUAACCUACCUAUAAGACUGGGAUAACUUCGGGAAACCGUAGCUAAUACCGGAUAAUAUUUUGAACCGCAUGGUUCAAAAGUGAAAGACGGUCUUGCUGUCACUUAUAGAUGGAUCCGCGCUGCAUUAGCUAGUUGGUAAGGUAACGGCUUACCAAGGCAACGAUGCAUAGCCGACCUGAGAGGGGGAGCGGCCACACUGGAACUGGGCCCCGGCCCAGACUCCUAGGGGGGGCAGCAGUAGGGAAUUUUCCGCAAGGGGCGAAAGCCUGACGGGGCAACGCCGGGUGAGUGAUGAAGGUCUUCGGAUCGUAAAACUCUUUUAUUAGGGAAGAACAUAUGUGUAAGUAACUGUGCACAUCUUGACGGUACCUAAUCAAAAAGCCCCGGCUAACUACGU